GCCUCAUUGGCGCAGCUGGUAGUGACCCUACUUGCUGCGUUGGGGCGCGGGUUUGACUCCCGCACGAGACA